AUGGAUGGAGGAAAUCACUCAGUGGUGUCUGAAUUUUUGUUGCUGGGACUCACCAGUUCUUGGGAAAUUCAGGUUCUCCUUUUUCUGUUUUUCACCAUAUUUUAUGUAGCAAGUAUGCUGGGAAACCUUCUCAUUGUGCUCACAAUCAUCUCAGACCAUCACGUACACUCUCCAAUGUACUUCUUGCUGGCAAAUCUCUCCUUCAUUGAUAUAGGUGUGUCCAGCAUUGCAACUCCAAAGAUGAUUUAUGACCUCUUCAAAAAACUUAAAGUCAUCUCCUUGAAUGGUUGCAUCACUCAGAUGUUUUUUAUUCAUACUGUUGGUGGGACAGAGAUGGUGCUGCUUGUAGUCAUGGCCUAUGACCGAUACGCUGCUAUCUGUAAGCCCCUCCACUACCUGACCGUCAUGAGCCUCAGAAUGUGCAUUUCUCUUCUGGCUCUGGCUUGGACCAUUGGGAUCAUCCAUUCUGUGGCCCAACUGGCUUUUGUUGUGAACCUAUCCUUUUGUGGGCCCAACCAAAUGGAUAGCUUUUAUUGUGAUUUUCCUCGCUUCAUCAAACUUGCAUGCACAGACACCUAUAGACUGGAGUUUCUGGUCACUGCUAACAGUGGUUUCAUCUCCAUGGGCACCUUCUUCCUCUUGAUUGUGUCUUAUGUCUUCAUUCUGGUCACGGUUCAUAAACACUCUUCAGGUGUUUCAUCCAAGGCCCUCUCCACUCUCUCAGCUCACAUCACUGUGGUGUUUUUUUUCUUUGGUCCCUGCAUUAUUGUCUAUGUGUGGCCAUUCCCUACCUUACCCAUAGAUAAAUUUUUAGCUAUCUUUGAUGCCAUCAUCACUCCUUUUAUGAAUCCCAUCAUCUAUACAUUUAGAAACAAGGAGAUGAAGGUGGCAAUGAGGAGACUCUUUGUUAGGGCUUUAAAUUUCAGGAUGAAUUUUUUCAUGCACAGUUGAAGAAAUUCAGAUUAA